GUAGGCUUUUUGUUUAAAGAAACCUCCAUUGUUCCAUGAGGUCACAUUGAAAGAGUACAUAUGGAAUAUGACGGAGAAGACUGUUGGAUCGACCUGUCAACGAGUAUCCCUUCAAGUACCAACCUAUGGAGCUACUGUUACGUCGAACGCCCUCCAGCACCGUUCCAAACAGCUACCUGCAACCUGCUGCAUCCAUUAACAAUUCAUCAUCGUGCUGUGCUUACAGUAGACGUUAAACGUAUCCCUCCGUUAGGGAUGUUAUAGAGUGCAAAGCCUUAGACCAAGUCAUAGCUGCGCUUCGAACCUGUUAGAAUAUCUACCCCCCCCCGUUUGGAUUGUUGCUCCGUUCGCUAAAUUGUUAGUUGUUCAAAUUUGUUACCUGUUCAGACUCCCGCGGCGCUUCAUCCGUUGUCGGGUUUUGUUACAUCCUUAGCAAAGCAUACUUGCAUAGCAAAGCAGCUGCAGCAGCCUUCCAUGUCACCUAGAGCAAAGCCACUUACCAGAAUCUCUCAUUCGAGGCGAGAGAUGGCACCAUUUUCCAAU